rnacentral:pre_miRNA from 1 species
AAUAAACCAAUCUUUUACUUUUUGCCUAUAAUGUUUGAUUUUUUGUCUUAUUUAAAAAAAUACGAUUAAUAUUUUUUAUAUUAAAUGAUAAAUUAUGAAUAGUACUUUACGUGUGACUAAUUUUUAAAAAAAAUUCUCGAAAAUUUUUCAAAUAAGACGGAUAGUCAAGCGCUGGACAGCAAACCUAAAGUUUGCCUAGC